rnacentral:rRNA from 1 species
GAUGAACGCUGGCGGCGUGCUUAACACAUGCAAGUCGAACGGACUUUUAAUGAAACCUAGUGAUUUAAAAGUUAGUGGCGGACGGGUGAGUAACGCGUGGGUAACCUGCCGUAUGCUGGGGGACAACAGUUAGAAAUGACUGCUAAUACCGCAUAAGCGCAUAGAGUCGCAUGACUCAGUGUGAAGAACCGAGGUGGCACACGAUGGACCCGCGUCUGAUUAGCUAGUUGGUGAGGUAACGGCUCACCAAGGCGACGAUCAGUAGCCGGCCUGAGAGGGUGAACGGCCACAUUGGGACUGAGACACGGCCCAA